AAUCAACGCUGGCGGCGUGCCUCAGACAUGCAAGUCGAACGCGAAAGUUCCCUUCGGGGGAUGAGUAGAGUGGCGCACGGGUGAGUAACACGUAGGUAAUCUACCUUCGGAUGGGGAAUAACAACCGGAAACGGUUGCUAAUACCGCAUAAUGCAGCGGCACCUAAUGGUGACAGUUGUUAAAGCGGGGGAUCGAAAGACCUCGCGUCUGAAGAGGAGCCUGCGGCGGAUUAGCAGUUGGUAGGGUAACGGCCUACCAAGGCUACGAUCCGUAGCCGGCCUGAGAGGGCGGUCGGCCACACUGACACUGACAUACGGGUCAGACUCCUACGGGA
rnacentral:rRNA from 1 species